CUUUAUUCGUUCCUGCUCGUUCUUCCUCUCUCUUCUUUUUCCUCCUUUUCCUUUUUUCCCCUUUAUUUUUCUUCUCCUCGUUUCCCCCUUUUUUCUUUCCUUCUGAUUCUCUUUCUUGUGGUUUUAAAAACUCUUUAUCUUUUUUUCCACUCUGUUUUUCUCCUUUUCUGUCUCUCUGUCCCCCUGUCCCUCUGUCCCUCUCCCUACUUCUCCUUUUUCCCUCUCAUUACUCACACAUUCCUUACUCAUCUCUCCGUCUUUCCCUGGUUUCCCCUUCCUUUCCCGUUUCUCUCCCUCCCACAGAAAACCGCGCUUUCCAGAAAGACUGGAAAUUUGGCAAACACGAGGGGAUCAUUUGCAGACCCUCCUGGGAGCCCCCCCCCAGCUCCUCCAUCCCGAGGGGAGCGGGGCUGCCCACGGAACCCCCCAGCUCCGGGGACCCUCUCCCCCCGGGGGUGGGACUCGCGGAGUCUCAGCUCGAUUUGUUUGGUUUGGUUGGUUGUGUUUUUUUUUUUUUACUGUUCCAGGGGCUGCGAUUAAAACCCGAAGGGCAGAGAGGGAGGAAGCCCCGCGGGGCAGCCAGCUGGCCGAGAAGAAGUGACGAGCCCCCAGUGGCAGGGAGAGGGGGGGAUGCUCAGACACCUCCUGCCUCUCCUCUUGCACAAACACCGAGUCAUCCCCCUCCCCAGUCUGGGGACAGGGAACCGGCCAGACCUCCGGCUCCUCCCCGGGACCCUGCCAGGGGCUGGUCUGGCUUCCUCCAGCCCUGACACCCCGGAGAGGGGCCCGGGCUCUGCCCCUGCCAGGCUCUUUGUCUGCCUCGUCCUCUCCCGCAGCCCCCAGCUGGCAUGUUCCCUUCCGUUCUUCAUGUGUGUUCAUCUAUGUGCACGUAGCUCACACACACCACGCGUGACGUGCACACACCAGCCUGAACACACACACACAUUCCCCCUGCAACACCCGCCUGGGUGGCCCUGCCUUCUCUGACGUACCCAGGCUCGGGGGUUGGUGACACUGUCCCCCAGCCCCACCAUUUAGCACCAGGAGAUGAGGUUUUUUUUUUUCCUCUCUGUGCAGACCAGAGCAGAGAGCCCUUCCUGGGGUUUCCUCGGGACCAGGAGGGGCGCUGAGUGCUUGGCCUGGACCUCUCCAACGCCUGUUCCACAGCCUGGAACCUGAACCUGACGCUGCACUUGCAAGCCAAGGGCGGAAUGAAACCUGGCUCAGAAAACAUAAAGGGUAAACAUCAGCAUCUCAAAGAACCGAAAGCUUCCUGCUGGAGAAGCCAACAGGGACCUGCCAUGAAGUCCUGGUAUGGUGUGUCACUGACACUGAUUCAAUCUGACACCCGGGUGUCUCCAAAGCCAUCACAUUGUGUGCUGCAAAUGUAUAUUAACAUUAGUAUGCAUUGGCACAAUAUGGAUCCAUUAUUCCAAAUGCUUAUGAGAACUAGGUGCUGCCUAGGAGCAGCUGCUGCUUUUUAAGCCUCAGAGCAUCAAUGGAUUCAUAGAUUUUAGGGCCAGAAGGGACCCUGAUGUUCAUGGAGCUUGACCUCCCACAGAGCUGUGGAGACUCUCCUGGUAAUUCCUGCCCCGUGCCUCCUGGUUAAGCAGGAGCAGCUUCCCCAGCUCCUAAGCAAAGGAGAAGUUGAUGUCUCCUUCUGUGAAUUUGUUCCCUUGUUUUAUCCCUCUCUGCUUUAAUUCUAAAAGGGCAUGGCUUUCUUUUGAGGCUCAGCUUUUGCAGGUCCAUCUUCCCACCACUUGGUCCUCUUGGGUUCCCUCUUCUGAACCAGAAAAGAAAAUGUCUUUCUCCCUUCCAUUGAGAAAAAGAGAAUUCAGCCCUGGAAUGUCAUCUGAAAAAGGACUGGUACUUCUGGCUGGAAAUGGGAUCUGGCCACUGCUUGAAUG